rnacentral:rRNA from 1 species
AUUGAACGCUGGCGGCAGGCCUAACACAUGCAAGUCGAACGAGUGGCGGACGGGUGAGUAAUGUCUGGGAAACUGCCUGAUGGAGGGGGAUAACUACUGGAAACGGUAGCUAAUACCGCAUACCAUCAGAUGUGCCCAGAUGGGAUUAGCUUGUUGGUGGGGUAACGGCUCACCAAGGCGACGAUCCCUAGCUGGUCUGAGAGGAUGACCAGCCAAACUGGGACGGAGAAACGGUCCAGACGCAUACGGGAGGAAGCAGUGGGGAAUAUUGGAAAAUGGGCGAAAGCCGGAUGAAGCAAUGCCGCGUGUAUGAAGAAGGCCUUCGGUUUGUAAAGUCCUUUCAGCGGGGAGGCGUUACCCGCAGAAGAAGCACCGGCUAACUCAGUGCCAGCAGCCGCGGUAAUAC